AACAACUCACCUGCCGAAUGAAUUAGCCCUGAAAAUGGAUGGCGCUUAAGCGAUCUGCCAACACCAGACCAUCUGGGCCAGUUCUGUUUCCAGAUGAGUAGGGGGGCGCAGCGGUUGUAGCGAAGCGCAUGUGCGAACGUGCGUGGAACGGCCGCUGGUGCAGAUCUUGGUGUUAGUAGCAAAUAUUCAAGUUCAAACCUUGAAGGGCGACGCGGGGAAGGGUUCCACGCGAACAUUGAUUGAGCGUGGGUUAGUCGGUCCUAAACCGAGUGGCAAUUGCUAAUUAUCGGUGAAAGGGAAGCAGGUUGAUAUUCCUGCACACGGACGUAGAUUGCGGCGACGCACCAUCUAGGGACGAUUUCGCCUGCGGUAGACCUGGGCAGAGUUUUCUUUUCUGUUUAACUUGCCUCAUGUACGCUGUGGAAUCCGCUUGUCGGGAGAAACAGGUAGAUGUAGGAAUAAGCGCCGGAUCUUCUCUGGCGUCCAGUACUCUAUCGACUGGCCCUUGAAAAAUUGUCUGCUGGCAUAUAGUUUUUUUUAUUAAGAACUGUGUGUGGGAAAAAUUCUACUCCGUACCGUACCCAUAACCGCAUCAGGUCCCCAAGGUGAAUAGUCUCUGCUCAGCUUGAUGUAU
rnacentral:rRNA from 1 species